UCCACGAGUUUGCCGCCAGAGCACAGGUGUUAUGAAAACCACCCCUAAAGGCCAAAAUGGAAAAGGAAAAGAAGCACAUCAUUGUCAUCAUUGGACACGUUGAUUCGGGCAAGUCCACCCCUGCUGGCCACCUGAUCUACAAAUAUGGCAGCAUCGACAAAAGAACCAUCGAGAAAUUCGAGAAGGAGCCUGCUGAGACGGGAAAGGACUCCUUCAAGAAUGCCUGGGUCUUGGAUAAACUGAAAGCUGAGCAUGAACGUGGUAUCACCACUGAUAUUGCCCUGUGGAAAUUUGAGACCAGCAAGUACUACGUCACUAUGAUUGAUUCCCUGGGACACGAAGACUUCAUCAAAAACAUGACUACAGGCACAUCUCAGGCUGACUGUGCUGUCCUGAUUGUCGCAGCUGGUGUUGGGGAAUUUGAAGCUGGUAUCUCCGACAACGGGCAGACCCGUGAGCAUGCCCUCCUGGCUUACACACUGGGUGUGAAACAACUAAUUGUUGGCGUUAACAAAAUGGAUUCCACGGAGCCACCCUACAGCCAGAAGAGAUACGAAGAAAUUGUUAAGGAAGUCAGCACUUACAUUAAGAAAAUUGGCUACAAUCCCGACACAGUAGCAUUUGCGCCAAUCUCUGUUGGAAUGGUGACAACAUUCAGGAGUCAAGGGCUAACAUGCCUUGGUUUAAGGGAUGGAAAGUCACCAUAGAGAUGGUCACGCCAGUGGAACCAUGCUGCUUAAAGUACUGGACGGCAUCCUCCCACCAGCUCGUCCAACUGAUAAGCCCUUGCGUCUGCUUCUCCAGGAUGUCUACAAGAUUGGUGGUACUGGUGCUGUCCCUGGGCGCUGAGGGGAGACUGGCAUUCUCAAACCUCGCAUGGUGGUCACCUUUGCUCCAGUCAAUGUUACAGCUGAAGUAAAGUCUGUUGAAAUGCACCAUGAAGCUUUGAGUGAAGCCCUUCCUGGGGACAACGUGGGGUUCAAUGUCCGGAAUGUGUCUGUCAAAGAUGUUUGCUGUGGCAGUGUUGCUGGUGACAGCAAAAAUGAUCCACCAAUGGAAGCAGUUGGAUUCAUAGCUCAGGCGAUUAUCCUGAACUAUCCAAACCAAAUCAAUGCUGGCUAUGCCCCUGUACUGGAUUGUCACACAGGUCACACUGCAUGUAAGUUUGCUGAGCUGAAGGAAGAGAUUGAUCGCCGUUCUGGUAAGAAGCUGGAAGAUGGCCCUAAAUUCUUGAAAUCUGGUGAUGCUGCCAUCGUUGGUAUGGUUCCUGGCAAGUUCGUGUAUGUGGAGAGCUUCUCUGACUAUCCUCCUCUGGGUCAUUUUGCCAUCUGUGAUAUGAGGCAGGUAGUUGCAAUGGGUGUCAUCAAAGCAGUGGAAAGAAGCCUGCCGGAGCUGGCAAGGUCACCAAGUCUGCCCCCAAAGCUCAGAAGCCUAAAUGA